UUUAAAGGGACUUUGUGCAAGACAUUCUCAACCUGCGUCCCAAUCAGCACAUAGCUGUGGCCCAUGUGACAUCCUCAGGGCCAUACAAGUAGAAUAUAUAUUG